rnacentral:rRNA from 1 species
UACAGAGGGUGCAAGCGUUGUUCGGAAUUAUUGGGCGUAAAGGGCGCGUAGGCGGUGCGGUAAGUCUGUAGUGAAAUCUCUGGGCUCAACUCAGAGUCUGCUGCAGAAACUGCCGUGCUUGAGUGUGGGAGAGGUGAGUGGAAUUCCCGGUGUAGCGGUGAAAUGCGUAGAUAUCGGAAGGAACGCCCGUGGCGAAAGCGAGCCCCUGGACGUCUACUGACGCUGAGACGCGAAAGCCAGGGGAGCGAACGGG